rnacentral:rRNA from 1 species
AGUGAACGCUGGCGGCAGGCCUAACACAUGCAAGUCGAGCGGCAGCGGGUCGUAGCAAUACGAUGCCGGCGAGCGGCGGACGGGUGAGGAACACAUCGGAAUCUACCCAGUCGUGGGGGAUAACGUAGGGAAACUUACGCUAAUACCGCAUACGACCUGAGGGUGAAAGCAGGGGACCGCAAGGCCUUGCGCGAUUGGAUGAGCCGAUGUCGGAUUAGCUAGUUGGUGGGGUAAAGGCCCACCAAGGCGACGAUCUGUAGCUGGUCUGAGAGGAUGAUCAGCCACACUGGAACUGAGACACGGUCCAGACUCCUACGGGAGGCAGCAGUGGGGAAAUAUUGGACAAUGGGCGCAAGCCUGAUCCAGCCAUGCCGCGUGUGUGAAGAAGGCC